rnacentral:tRNA from 1 species
GCCCGCCUAGCUCAAUCGGAUAGAGCGUCAGACUUUUACGAUUGUUGGAUUCAUCUGACGUAAUCUGAAGGCUGCGAGUUCGACCCUCGCGGUGGGCU